GAUGAACGCUAGCGGCAGGCUUAAUACAUGCAAGUUGAGGGGCAGCAUGAUAUACGCGAGUAUAUUGAUGGCGACCGGCGGACGGGUGAGUAAUAGGUAGGAGACCUACCUCAUACAGGGGGAUAGCAUAGAGAAAUCUGUGGUAAUACCCCAUGAGGUUAUAUGAAUAGAGGCAUAUAAUCAAAGCAUAAGCGAUUAUGCGGUAUGAGAGGGGCCUACUGACCAUUAGCUAGUUGGUGAGGUAAGGGCUCACCAAGGCGAAGAUGGUUAGGGGUUUUGAGAGAGAGACCCCCCACAUUGGAACUGAGAGACGGUCCAGACUCCUACGGGAGGCAGCAGUAGGGAAUAUUGGGCAAUGGGCGAAAGCCCUGACCCAGCCAUGCCGCGUGAAGGAAGACGGCCUUAUGGGUUGUAAACUUCUUUACUACGCGAAUAGAGGUUAGUACGAGAUACUAAAUAGAAGGUAGUGUAGUAAAAAGGCACCGGCUAACUCCGUG
rnacentral:rRNA from 1 species